GCCCCUGUACUCUGAGCUGGCGAACCUGGCAACUGAAGUGAUAGUUGCAAGUGUAAAAUAUUGGAGUACCAUUUUAAAAUUGUGGUUGAGGUGGUCAGUGAACAAAAAAAGACCUGUAUUCAGCUUAAGCCAUGUGGAGUAUUAAUCUCACCUAUAGUUUACACUUGCAAAUAUUAUUUCAGUUUGAGCCUUGGUUUUCAUAUUGGAGUACCAUUUCAGGGACAUGUAUCAGUAUGGUAGCUAAUGAAUGUUUGUAUCAAUGCAGCCUGAGGAAUCUACCAUUAUAGAAAUGCAAGAGCCGGUUUCACUUACCUUUGCUCUGAGGUACAUGAACUCCUUCACUAAGGCAAGCCCACUGUCAGACCAAGUCACCAUCAGCCUCUCAUCUGAACUGCCAGUGGUUGUUGAGUACAAGAUUGGCGAGAUGGGCUACAUUAGGUUUUAUUUGGCACCCAAGAUUGAAGAGGAUGAGGAAAUGAAGGCAUGAUUGUGUUUCAAGGAUCUGCUUAUUUUGCCUUCAUUAGGUUUUAUCUGGCACCCCAAGAUCGAAGAGAAUUUAGGAAAUGAAGGCAAAUUAUGUUUCAAGGAUGUGCUCAUCUUGCCUAUGUUCACAGUCGUUAAAUCAACCUCCAUUUGCUUAACGAUUGUUUGUAAGCAAAAAUGAUGUUAUGCUUGUUUUAGCUACUUGUAUCUGUGACUGGUGGUUCAUGGAUUUUCAUCUAUGAAUGUUGGUGUUUUAGGAGCUACUUGUAUCUGUGACUGUUGGUCUAUGUUACACCAGUGCUGUUAUUGUUAGGCAACGACUUAGAUUGUUUUUUUAUCAUAAAAUUCUACUGGUUGGUCCUUCGAUUGAAUGCAUUUUAGGUAUUGCGAGUGCAAUGAUUGCAACUGCAAAAACUGUCCUAAUAAUGCUAAUUGUCAUUGCUGGAGGCAUUACAAGUUGCGGAGCUGCCACUAUCAGGGGUACAAGUGCUUCCAUUGCAACAUGUACCCCCCAGGUGCCAGCACUACUGCCAAUGCCUGCAAGGCUGCAACCUCUGUAGGCGUGUGAGUGUGAGCUCUCUCCCUGCUAGGUAAUUUGGCAAUGGCAAUGUUUAUUUAGAGUAAGGCAUAUAGUGAGAUGGGAUGUGUAAACAAAAGUCUACAUAGCAGUUCCAAUGCUAUGCCUUGAACUGCUUAGCCAUCUCUCCUACAUAAGUUAUUAUGGAAAAUAAACCGAGUGAAUAGCGAGUUUUUCUUAUUCCUGCAGUAUAGGUACAACCGCAACCACUCGGGGGUUCCAUAGUUCUAUUGGAAAAAUUCCUUUUGAUCUAAGUGGAAGGAUACAUGAUUUUUUACUAGAAAUUGUGCUCCUAUAAAAUAAAAGUUUUAAUUUGGGUUUUCCUGCAACUUGGUUGAAGAAAUUGAAACCGAUAACUACUCUACCUACUUGGACAUUGUGAUUGUACAGCUGGUAUUCUGUGUCUCAAAGUUAAGAGCAUCUCUAGUGGCUUGUCUAAAUUUGGUAGUCUAUAUCUUCACAUACACAAUGGUGUAAAAAAAUUUCAUUUUAGACAACCUCAGUUUUUCAGUGGAUUGUCUAAAUUUGAUAGUCUAUAUUCCCAACGGCUACAUUUUGGACGUGGCGCGGGUGUCCUUCUCGUCUCCAACAGCUCCGGAUUGGCACGGAAGAGAGCUCACGAGGAGCAUCUCUCGUUUGGACAUCCUCGCUCGGUAGUCCAAAUAUAGACGAUGUGUAGCUAGUCUGAUGGAUGUCUAAAAUUUAGACCACGCCAUACACCAGCCGCUGGAGACGUUUUUUGGCCUCUGGUGGUCUAUAUCUGGCUUAGACUAUGGGAUACACUAGGCCACUAGAGAUGCUCUAAUUGAGAAAUAAUGUCUAGGUUUUCCCCCUUCUAUUGAGAGUAGGGAAAGCCUUUGUCUGGAAAUUAUUUUUGUUAAUUGUUGAAUUUUUUCCUAUCUGCAGGAUAUGAAAUACUCAUAUCCAAGGAGGAAAUACUGCAAGUGCAAGAACUUGAAUGUAGGCUCCCUUAUAAUUUGUUAAAACAAUAUGCAUCAUAAGGAUCUUGUUGCUAUUGAAUUUGUCUUUAAGGUAAAUAUUUUAUCCCUCAAGUCAUUUUCCAGCCCUUAAAGGUUAGUGCUUAUUUACGUAUAUUACUACCUGUGAAAAAUCUCAUUGUGAUUGUACGUGCAUAGCAUGUGCAUAUGCUUGUAUUGCUAUGUGCCAAGUGCUGCUGACCAGUCGCUGGGCACAAUGCAAACAGGCAAAAUAAUGUAUAAUGAACCUCCAAAUGAAACCAGAUAUAGUUGGUAUUUCUUGGUAGUAUUUUCUUUCAUAAUUUGAUGCUAGAGUUCUAGAGUUCGUGUUCUAUGCUUUGUGGUUAGUUUCCUUCCCAGGCUACAUCUUUAGAGCACUUAUAAUAGAAAAUACGGAAAUAAAUAGAACAAAUAAUUCUAGAUUGCUGUUGUUGUUCCUUUGUGUCUUGCACUGUCAGGAUAAUUUUUAACUGAAUUAAAAAAAAACAAUCUAAAAUAGUGCCAAAGUUAUAACGAAAGCAAAUGCUCCCUCCAUUUGAAUUGAUUGAAGUUCUAGUUUUGUCCUAAGUCAAACUUUAUAUUUGACCAAGCUAUUAAAAUGUUCUAAUAUCUACAACAGUAAUGAGAUUUUGCUUUCUAUCUGAGCACUUGCAUUACUGAUGAACUCCUUACAUUCUCUCAAGUCAGUUGAAGGCCCUUACUAUUUUUAAUAGCUAGGCAACGACUUGAAUUGUAUUCUUUAUCAUAAAAUUCUACUGAUUGGUCUUUUGAUUGAAUGCAUUUCUAGGUAUUGUGAGUGUUUUGCAUCAGGUAGAUACUGCAGUGAUUGCAACUGCAAAAACUGUUCUAGUAAUGUUAGUCAUGAGGCUGCAAGAUAGGAUGCUAUCAAUACUGUGAUGGAAAGGAAUCCUGUGGCCUUUAUGUCCAAAAUUGGGAAUAUCCCUCCACAUGCAGCCCAGAAUGGCGAGGUAGAGCACAAUGUAUAUUUCGCAAGAAUCACUUGUGUUUUCUUCUAGUUGCUGAAGGGCUUGGCUAUCUAUGUCUUGUUUUGCCUGUUUCCUUGUCGGUAUCCAAAAUUUAAACACAAUGAAGUGGCCCGUAAAUACGGCGCAAAUAAUGUUCUGAGGUCAAGACUCAUAUAUCAUUAGACUAAAGUGUCACAUCUUUAUAUUUUUAUGUGCAAUAGAUCGGUGAGAUUUGGGCAUCAACAAUGAUAGAGAGGUCAAAUCCCCUUUUUGUCAUCUAGAACUUGUCUUCCAAUGUUAGCAACUGAUACAUGGAGUCAUGGAUUGCCAUUACCUGACUCCCUUUUGGGUACAUUGCUUAAAAUCGAGAAUUUUGAGCAUGGUGUUCUGCUAGCAGUGCCGAUUCUUGAACCCAUACCAUGAGUUGAGGGCUUAAGGUUAGCAAUAGUCGUAUGACAAACAAGCCAAAUUCUGAGUUGUAUACCAAUAUGUUUGCCUUCUCAUGUCAUGUAGGAAAUCCAUUCUCAUUACAUCCCAGUUUAAAGUGGCAGAAGGCCCUGUUGUGGUUAAGCACACGAAGGGGUGCCACUGCAAGAGAUCUGAGUGCCUGAAGAAAUACCGUGAGUGCUUUCAAUCUAAUGUUCUCUGUUCAGAGAACUGCAAAUGUACGGAUUGCAAGAACUAUGAGAGCAGUGAAGAUAUGAAAGCAAUAGGCCUUAUCACCCAGUGGCACCUUGUCUAUUCACAUGAUAUGCAGAAUCCUGCUAUAAUGUUGGCUCUUUCUCAUGCAGUAGAAAAGCUCUCCAAUCUCUCAGUGGCUCCAUUAGGCAGAGAUCAGGUCAUCAGUAAAAAUGAUUGUUCACAAGUAAUUCUUUUACAGGACCCCUUUUAUAAUUUUCCGGAAAGGCUUUCAUAAUUUUCAUGCCUUCUGCUUUCGUUAUGUGGACUUAGAAAUAAUUUAAGGUAUAUAGACUAUAGCAGCCAAACAUGUGUGGUGUCUUAUGGAUAGCUGACUGAAUAUGUAUGGUUAGUAGCUCAAAUGCUAUAACAUAUCGUUCAGUUAAAAUAAAAGCUAAAUAAAUGUUGAAAUUCUGGUUAUUAACAUAUACUUUUGUCUUUUCCCAUGUCAGGUGACUUCGUCUUUCCUCACCCCUGUUCCUAUAGAAGGCACUCAAAGUACUGUCAAAUUAGCGCCGCAAGGAGUUACUUAUAGACGACAUUUUGCCCAUGAUUAUAGCCAAUUUCUCAUCUGAACUUAUUUAAUUGUGCUGUCUGACAUAUAUUUCUUAUCUUCCCCGAGGCCACUUUUAGCUGAUAUUAUCCAGAUAGAGAAUGUCGAUGAGCUCUGUAAAGUAUUGGUUCUAGUAUUAAGGCAAGCUGCCGGAACAUUUGUAGGUAUUGUUUUUCUCUGCAGAAGAAUAAUCAUAGCUAUGAUCCUAAUAUGUGAUUCGUUAUGCUAAAUGGUUUUCUGUUUGCUAGCUCACAUUCUUCUGGUAAGUUGAUUUGCCAUCAAACUAUUAGGAAGUACAGCAUAGAAUAGAGAGACCUUGUCACAUUCAGUUCAAGGGAAUGCUUUGUUACUCCACCUAAAGAAAAUUUGCACAUACCUUAAAAGUAGAACUCACUAUCUGACACCAGGUGCAAAUCUUCUCAGUUAGUACCAAGUGAUUGCAAGUUGCUUAGAAGAAGCCUUCGAUGUUUGCUUCUGUUUUGGCUGAGAACUCACACGUACAGAACUUUUAUUGCCAGUGGUAUAUUUCAUUGAAGGAUUUAAUGGCGAAACAUGCAUAUAUCUUAUCAGGGUGUAUAUGUUCUCUGAAUCUCACAACUAUUUCGUAUUCAGGUGUUCAGGAGAACACAACAGAAAAUUAGAUCGAUCAGAGAGUUGCCUUUGUUCCACAAACCAUGACACGGAAGCAAUUCAGAAACAACAUGAUGAACAAGUGUGCUCAAAAGAAAACAGUUUAACCACAGUUACUGCAAUUCUCUCAGUCGCCAAGCAGAAAUUGCCAGACACUUACAAAGAGCAAGAGAAGCGUAUUCUGAAGAUUUUGCGUGAGGUUGUGAACCGCGGAAGACUUCAUAGUGGGUGCCAGCAGAUCAUCAAGUUCUGUAGAUACAGUACAACAGCAGCCAUUAUCCAAAUAAGAGACGCUGAAACCAUCUAAACCUGUAGUUAUUUUCUGGCUCUUUGUAUUUGUUCGUUAUCAGCACUGCUGCAAAUAAGUAUCCAUAUUUAACAGCUCUUGGUUUCUGCAGAAGAGAAGCUCUCUUGGAUGUCAUCCAAGUUCCACGAGCGAACCUCUGUCGGCAGCAGCUGCAGCUCGUCCGUAUCAAGGGUUGCAGAGGUUGCCAGGAUGGGGCAAACAAUCCGACAAGCGCUCCAUUCUCCAGCAGGUAUCAAAUCACCAGGUCUUUUGUCAAUGGAUACGUCUCAAUCCAAUAACUGAACUGCGAUGAGCAGCCCAGUGCCAUGAGCAUAAUGCUGCAGCCAAAAUGAUGAUUUAAUUUUCUGCACAAAAAGGCCGCAACGCAACGCAAAACGAAGGCACCACCUCCCAAGUGCUCCCCAACUACUUACCCAAACACCGCAUAUCCGAUCGACCUCCCGUCAUCGUUCCUCGACACCAUGGCCCAAGGCCAAGAAAGCAAGUGCACGAGUUGGACGAUAGGCGUGACAGCGAUAGUUAUCAUGAUAGGUAUUUUUGCUCCUCUUGCGUGGUACGCCGAGAGGCCAGCUGACACGACGUACGAGGCGACCAUCACCAGCGUGGGCGGCCUGGACCCGGCCCUGGAUCUCCACGGCGACCGGCAGGCGCUCAGCCCGGUGUUCGGCAUCACCGUGCGCGUCGACAGCACCCGCAACAAGGUCUUCAAGAAGCGCAUCGGCGGCGCCGGCUCCUCCGUGGUGGUGUCCUACGGGGACGCGCUGCUCGCCAAGGGCGCCGUGCCGGAGCUCUGCGUGCACACGUCAGGGGUGGGAGAGGUGGCGGCCGAGGCGUGGGGCUUGAACGUGCAGGUGCCUCAGUUCCUCCGGGACCGGCUGGCCGGCGAGAUAGAGAGCGGCCAGGCGGUGGUGGACGUGGCGGUGCGGACUCCCGUGGGGUGCUACAUAAACGGAUGCUUGGACGCGGUGCUUGUCUGCAAGGCCAGGAUCCAGGGCGGUUCUUCUCCGUGUUUUUCUAUGUAGAGAGAGGCUAUCAGCGGCACGGGCGCAAACGGAUGGUUUCGAGCGUUUUUUUGCGGUUUAUUUUAUUUUUGCUUAGGAUAGCAUGAAGGGGUUUUUGUUUUCAAUCAAGCACCAUCUUUUAUAGUGGAUCCAAAUUUUGUAUUCUCUAUCAAGAACUGUGUUUAACAGUUGAUCUGAUUUUUGUAUUUGCAAUCAAGAACUGUGUUUUAUAGUGGAUCUGGAUUACUACCCGCAAAAAAGAGUAUAUUAUACUACAAUAAAUGCAUACAUUCCCUCCGUCACAUAAUGCGUUCAUCACUUUUCGUGAAAACCAAAUAUCACAAAUUUGAUCAAGUUUAUAGAAAAAAUAAUACAAAACAUAUACUAUAUGAGAUAUAUUUCAUGAUGAAUCUAAUGGUAUUGAUUUGGUAUAGGAAAAUUAUAUAUAUCCAUAAUACAAAAUAUAUAUUGUAUUAAUAUUCUGGAUGAAUCUAAUGGUAUUGAUUUGAUAUUAUAGGUGUUGAUAAAUAUAUUUAUAAACUUGAUCAAAGUCCAAAUAUGCUAAAUGGAGGACGAGCUCCAUGGAGCUCUUUUUUAUCUGAAAACAUAAUAAUAAUAAUAUUAUUAUUAUUAUUAAAUCAUAUUUUGAAGUUUCAAAAUAUUCUAAAAAAAAUCACACACGACACGUGUGUAAAUUUUCAAGAUGAUAUACAUUAUGGUGAGAGCUACACAAGAAAGACAAAAUCAUGAUUUUGAAAAUGAUGAACAAUAUACACACUGUUCACUAUUAAAAAUACACCAAACAAUAAUGUAUUUCAUCUUCAGACUUUACAGGCAUGUAAAAUACAUCCCUAUGAACCCGUAUGAUUGUUUUUCAGUUUUUUUUUUAAUUUCAAAAUGUGAUUUUUUUAAAAAGAGCUCCAUGGAGCUCGUCCUCUGAAAUGCCCCACUCAUCAAAGUUUUAAAGUUUUAAAAAAAUCUCAAUUUUUUACGUGUUCAUAUGGAUGUAUUCUACAUGUGUAUAAAGUCUGACAAUGAAAUACAUUAUCGUGAAAGCUACACAAAAAAGACAAAUCCGUGCAUUUUUAUAGUGAAUAGUGCACAUACUCCCUCCGUUCCAUGUUACUCGUCGCUGAUUUAGUACUUCUCACCGCUUUUAGACCACAGUUUCAUCUUCUUAGUUUUCUCUCAUUAUAAUGUAUAUAAUCUUAAAAUUUUACACACAUGUAGUAUACAUAGUAUGAACGUGUGUGAUUUUUUUAGAUUUUUUUAAAACUUUCAAACGUGAUUUUCAAAAUUUUCAAAUAAAGGGACUCCAUGGAGCUCGCCCUCCAUUUUGCGUAUUUGAUUUAAUACCCACAACAUUUUGGGACGGAGGGAGUACAACGGUAGUUGUCCAACUAAUUUUUUGAUAUAACUAUUUCUAGUUCGACAUAAAAACUCAUCCAAUUUGAUAAGUACAAAUUCAUGAAAAAUAUCCUUAUAUGAUUUCAGAUGUCAAUUAAUAUCAACAGUAAACUAACCAUCUGUAAAUCAAAUGAGAGUUUGCUCGAGUGCUAGGUCCUUUGUCUUCGACCACUCUUUGCCUCCCACGCUUUUUCGGUGGUCAAUUUUAGUGUCCGGCGGCAAGUAAAAAUACCAUGUCCUACACGUAUUGAUGGAUCGGUAUUUGACACUCCAUGGUUGUGAUGGUAGGCGCUCUAUUAUUUUUAUAGACUAAUCUGAAACAUAAUUUAUUGAAAAAUAAUAACCACUCCAAAUUAUCUAAGUUUGACCAUCCAGAAACUAAGUAUUACUAGCAUCCAAAAUAUCGAAGUUAUAUUAUUUGAUUUAUCAUCAAGCAUAUUUUUAAAAUGCGUUAUUUUUAUAUGAGACACUAUGUUUAUAUUUUUUAACAGUAAAAUAACCAUGUUGGAGAUUAUGUCAUGUAGAAAUAUACUUAUAUUUUGGGAAGGAGACGAAAACUUGUGACUCUAAUUUUAGUUAGGAACACAUGCCUGAUUGUAACUUACUUCGAUCAAUUGUGAGUUGUGCAAUUGAUAUUAAUUAAAUAUAUUUAAUUAUGCAAACAAAAAUCAGUCUAAUCAGAUAUGGAGUAAACUUUGCUACGAAGUUAGAGUAAGAUAACUCACCACAUUGAUCCACAAGUUUAAACCGAAGCCAAAAACAUAUAGCCCAAGAGUUAGCAUUCUUGCAAGCAGAAAAAUAAUGGUCUUCUAUUUCUCAAAUGAUAGUUAGUCGCCUUUUUAAAAUACCGGUAAGACCUAUCUAAUUUAUUAAUUGUUAUUUGUGCAGGUACAAAAUUAUUAGAAGAUCUUUGUUGGAUGGUUAUGAAUUUUGGUUAAGAAAUAAUUAGCAAAAUUCCGUAUGGUUAUGAAUAAAUAUAUUAGCAAAUUUCCAUACAUUAUAAACGAACCAUUGGUUUAUAGUCGGGAGGGUGGUUGUCCCCUAGAUUUAACACUAUAUCUUAGUAAGAAGGAGAAAAAAAAUCCAGUGACGGACGAUCUGCCAUCAAUAGGCUCCCUCUCCCCUUGAGUGGGCGAGUCGAUUUGAGACAAAGUUGAACACUUCGUGCGAGACAUUGUGAGAUCAUGAGAGCGGCUCCUCAGUUUGAGGUCCAAUCUCCUCACCGUCUUGAACCUCUUCAUUUGAGUUCAUCUCUCUUUGCUUCAAGCCUAUUUUUGUGAGCGAGAGAUCUAUGCGUUUUUGAGAGAGUUUGAUUGAAGAUCUUUUGAGAGGUUCAUACAAGUGACUUUGCUUCCCUUGUUACUCUUGGAGGUGUGUCCUAGACGGCUAGAAGUUACAUGAGAGCCUUCAAGCUGUUGUGUAGGAAUCAAGAAGUUUGGAAAUGACCGAUGAUCAUCUUCUUCAUGCAAGAUCAAUCUUGAGCCACUCCUUUGACCUUUGUGGUAUAGAUUCAUGGUGGAAUAGGUGGGCAUGCACUUUGUGGGACCUUUUUGGGCGACGUUGUCAGGACCAUAAUGGUCAUAGGAUUUUGUAUUUGAGCCUCCACCAACAAGGAGUAGGAUAGACCAAAUUCCAAACCCCGGGAAAGCGUCAUUGGGCCACAUCAUGUUUGCUUCCUCCCUAAACUUCACUCCUACUUGCCUGCAGGUUUACCUUUCACAAUCAUGCUCUUUGUAGACUCAUAUGUAGAUGUUCGUAGGACUAAACUAGUGAAGACUAGAACUUGACCCACUAAAAUUUGGAGUGGAAUUUUUGCACAGAAACAUCCCCUCCACACACACACAUCCCCUCCUAAUCCGUUUAACUCAAUCCUUUAAGUCCUCGUGUUGACCUCACAUGUUUGUGUACCGACUUGAAUAUUUUUCAAUAUUUGAGCAUUUGAGCAUGAUGUGGAUAUUUUGGAACAUCUUGACAGUUUUCCCCUUAUGUGCAAAUUAAAUAUAGACAAAACACCGUGGAAUGAAAACCAAGAAAAUCAUAGACUUGUAGUUCACUUACAUCGAUAAACUUCCUCUAAGAUGUUAACCCUGUGAAUUGGAUAGAUAAGAAUAGAUUGAUAAGGGCACUUGGACUUUGAAAAUAGUGAUUUUUUAUUUGGAGUUAAUACGGAAAAUUUUAAUUCUAAGAUUAGAGGACCUAAAUGUAGUCAUUCGGAGGUGCCGAGCCACACGGGAACCAGCCAGUAGCUCCUUCAAUGCAUCUAAGCAGUUCUGCCUUGGAGGAUUCGAGGUGCGCCUAGUAAUGCGAUGAUCCAUUCGAAGGCACCGAUCGAUGCAUGCUCGGAGGGGUCCAAAAUAUACUACAAAAAAACCAAGAUCUACCUAAUCAAUUUUAUCCACAAUUGAGGAUAAAAUACAAAAUAACCNNNNNNNNNNNNNNNNNNNNNNNNNNNNNNNNNNNNNNNNNNNNNNNNNNNNNNNNNNNNNNNNNNNNNNNNNNNNNNNNNNNNNNNNNNNNNNNNNNNNNNNNNNNNNNNNNNNNNNNNNNNNNNNNNNNNNNNNNNNNNNNNNNNNNNNNNNNNNNNNNNNNNNNNNNNNNNNNNNNNNNNNNNNNNNNNNNNNNNNNNNNNNNNNNNNNNNNNNNNNNNNNNNNNNNNNNNNNNNNNNNNNNNNNNNNNNNNNNNNNNNNNNNNNNNNNNNNNNNNNNNNNNNNNNNNNNNNNNNNNNNNNNNNNNNNNNNNNNNNNNNNNNNNNNNNNNNNNNNNNNNNNNNNNNNNNNNNNNNCCUCGCAAGCAAUCAUAAUAAGGACCCGAUGGGGGUGUCCAUGUUUGCAUAGGUCCGUGGGGGCACCACAACAACAAGGAAGAUUGGUGGCGACAAUGGGAAGAACUGACUGGAGGUCGUCCAGAAGGUUGAGGGUGAUUGUUGGAGGAGUAGUACGCGAUGGUUUGGCAGAGAGGAAGAGAGGGAGGGAGGGAGGGAGAGAGAGAGAGACAGAGAGAGAACAAUUGACGAAAGCUCAGUAGAGGUUUCAAGUUGUUUCAGAGUAGUCGAUGGCUCGAGGUGAAAUUUGUUCAGUGUCUUCAAAGAUCAGAUAACGAAAUAGAUUUGCAAUAUGUCCAUGUCUAGAGGUUUUGUGCUCGGAUGUUCCAAACAAGAAUACAAAAGGUUUUCCCGCUAAGUAUGUUUAGUCACAUGCACAUGUAGAAGAAUUUCAUUGUACAUUAGAAGCAUGCAAGAUAAUUCGCUCCUUAAAUUGUUGACAAACAUCUCGUCAAGGGACUUUGUAAAGUGUCAUCAAGUGUGUAUCCUUCCCAUAAUUACCGAGGGUAAUGUCAACUUCAUUUACAUGGUUAGAUGGUCUCAAAUGAAGUGGCGAUGGAUGACAAUGCAUUUAGUUCAGGAUUGUGGGCUAUUUUGAUCGCACUCACCAUCACCUUGGAAUGUAAUGUUGUUAAGAGAUGAACCAUAGUCUCCAUGACUUUUCCUCAUCCAUAUAGUUGAGCACAAUAAUAAGUGGCUGAAAUGUACUCGACUUCGUUGUUGUAUAGUGAUACGUCUCCAACAUAUCUACUUUUCCAAACACUUUUGCCCUUGUUUUGGACUCUAACUUGCAUGAUUUGAAUGAAACUAACCCAGACUAACGCUAUUUUCAGCAGAAUUACCAUGGUGUUAUUUAUGUGCAGGAGCAAACGUUCUCGGAAUGACCUGAAACUUCACGGAGCCACUUUUCAGAAAAUAAGAAAAAUACCUGCAAAAGAUGAAGGCCAGGGGACCCACCACCUUGCCACGAGGGUGGGGGGCGUGCCCCCCACCUCGUGGCCCCCCUGUUGCGUCUCCGACUCUAACUCCACCUUCAUAUAUUGAGUUUCGAUGAGAAAAAAAUCAGGGAGAAGAAAUCAUCGCGUUUUACGAUACGGAGCCGCCGCCAAGCCCUAAAACCUCUCGGGAGGGCUGAUAUGGAGUCCGUUCGGGGCUCCAGAGAGGGGAAUCCGUCGCCAUCGUCAUCAUCAACCAUCCUCCAUCACCAAUUUCAUGAUGCUCACCGCCGUGCGUGAGUAAUUCCAUCGUAGGCUUGCUGGACGGUGAUGGGUUGGAUGAGAUCUAUCAUGUAAUCGAGUUAGUUUUGUUAGGGUUUGAUCCCUAGUGUCCACUAUGUUCUGAGAUUGAUGUUGCUAUGACUUUGCUAUGCUUAAUGCUUGUCACUAGGGCCCGAGUGCCAUGAUUUCAGAUCUGAACCUAUUAUGUUUUCAUCAAUAUAUGAGUGUUCUUGAUCCUAUCUUGCAAGUCUAUAGUCACCUAUUAUGUGUUAUGAUCCGUUAACCCCGAAGUGACAAUAAUCGGGAUACUCCGGUGAUGACCGUAGUUUGAGGAGUUCAUGUAUUCACUAUGUGUUAAUGCUUUGUUCCGGUUCUCUAUUAAAAGGAGGCCUUAAUAUCCCUUAGUUUCCGUAAGGACCCCGCUGCCACGGGAGGGUAGGACAAAAGAUGUCAUGCAAGUUCUUUUCCAUAAGUACGUAUGACUAUAUUCGGAAUACAUGCCUACAUU
rnacentral:lncRNA from 1 species